ensembl:lncRNA
CAGGGGAGCACCUACUUAUCACUUGCCAAGGGUGUAGUCAGCUUAACACUGAAGCCUCUCUUACAAAGAAAGAGGAGGGAACUGCACCUGAGAUGAGAAAACUGAGGCUCAGAGAUUCCUAACCAGAUCUCAUACCCAAAAUCCUAAGCUAUCAUCUCACUGAAACUCCUGAUGAACCCUAAGUCAGAACAGCUGAGCCAAGCCCCUGCUUAAUUCCUGACCCACAGAAACUGAGAGAUGACCAAUCGACCAAUCCCAGUGCUGCUGACAAGAGCGCGGAUCUCAAUCCUUCUGGUCUGUGCGGACGUUGCCUUCCAAUCAAAGAAAACUUCCUGGACCCACAAGAUGUUCCACUACACCCUGCUUUCUCUAGCUCUGUGAACUGACUGACUGACUGAUUAAUAGAUGUCUGAAUUCAGCCUCCCCAACACUGAUUGCCAGGUCAGCCCUGGGCUUGUUUGCGGCCAUACAAAGAUGACGAGGCCAUGGGGUGCCUGGGGUGAGAGGUGGCUGGCUUUCCCCUGCCAGACACCCUAAACUUCUGGGACAGAGGGGGGAAUUCCGCCAAGUGAAACCGCAGCCAAGCUCCUUGAGACCCGUUCCGUCCUCUCCUACCACCACUCACUGUUUCUCAAAGUGUUUUUCAACAGCAGCUGGCAGGGUGGGGCGCCUACUCCCCAGCUCUGAUCGGGGGUGAGAAAGGUAUUAGAGGAAACCCCAACAGGGGCCAUGGAGGAGAACGCGGAAGCCUGGGGUAGGAGUGUAUCUGUGCAGUCGUGUGCACUCUGAGGACUCCGGCUACUCUGUAACACUCUUCUGGGGCCUCUGGCUAAACAGGAGGUGGGGGAUCCCAUAUUCUGGGCAGAUGCGGGAAGCAGCUUGUGGGACAGGGCAGUAGGUUGAAUACUCUGCCCCCAAAAUUGGUAUACACUGGGGAUCCCACACCAUGACCUUAUUUGGAAGGGGGGGUCUUUGCAGAUGUAAUCAGUUAAUCAAGGUUGAACUGAAUUAGGCUGCUGUCUUUAUAAGAGAUCGGAGAGGGAGGGAGAGGGAGGUUCUGACACGGAGAAAGGGAGAAGCCAACAGACAGCGGAGGUGGAGACUGGAUGGAAGGGUCUGCAGGUGGAGGU